rnacentral:rRNA from 1 species
GAUGAACGCUGGCGGCGUGCCUAAUACAUGCAAGUCGAGCGAACAGACGAGGAGCUUGCUCCUCUGACGUUAGCGGCGGACGGGUGAGUAACACGUGGAUAACCUACCUAUAAGACUGGGAUAACUUCGGGAAACCGGAGCUAAUACCGGAUAAUAUAUUGAACCGCAUGGUUCAAUAGUGAAAGACGGUUUUGCUGUCACUUAUAGAUGGAUCCGCGCCGCAUUAGCUAGUUGGUAAGGUAACGGCUUACCAAGGCGACGAUGCGUAGCCGACCUGAGAGGGUGAUCGGCCACACUGGAACGUAGACACGGUCCAGACUCCUACGGGAGGCAGCAGUAGGGAAUGUUCCGCAAUGGGCGAAAGCCUGACGGAGCAACGCCGCGUGAGUGAUGAAGGUCUUCGGAUCGUAAAACUCUGUUAUUAGGGAAGAACAAAUGUGUAAGUAACUAUGCACGUCUUGACGGUACCUAAUCAGAAAGCCACGGCUAACUACGUG